rnacentral:lncRNA from 1 species
AUGAGCACAAAACCGACAGGAAAGCGGUGCGUGUUGGACCUCGUGUAUAUAUUCUCAGUAAAAGAACGCUCUCAGUACAUUUUUAAAGGAGAGCAUUUGUGCGUAGUUUGGCGCACAGGCGCUGUUCUACAUUUGAUCUCGUCGCUGUUACGUGAUGUGUUUUAUUUUGAAGGCGAGAUCCUCUCGACAUCCUGUAUCUGUCCCGUCCAUCCGUGGCGCUUGACUCGAGCGGCCGUCCAUUCAAAGAGCCUAUUCCUGUGCGACAGACGGGGGCGCGCAUCAGGCCACCUCCUCCUCUUCGUGUCCACGGUCCGGGGGGAGGCCACCGGCGAGGCCCACACAUCCCAGAAUGCACCCUGGCUGCUUAUCUGCUCCAUCCACCACCCCCAACACACACACACACACACACACACACACACACACACACACACACACACACACACACACACACACACACACACACACACCUCUGGUGGAGCUGGAGCUGAGGUUUGAUGACGCUGUCGCUCGUUCGCUGCAGCGGCGCCUUCCUUCCAGGACACCUCUUCGUCGCGCCCUUGUCUCCGCAGCCGGAGCGAGUCCAGCCAUCAAGGUUAUCUCCCCUCAGCGUCUCUUUCAGCCCCCCUCACAGAGUUACAGCACGUGUUCGCAUGAAUAUUAACGCCCGCCUGCAAAGCUACGAGGUGCAUGGCGCUACUGUAUGCGGCCGCUCCAUAAAUCCCCCGCACUGUACGACACAAACAUGGCCGGUGAUGUGGGGCCGCGAGGCUCUCUGGGACUUUCAUGCUCAAAUGUCAGAGCAUUUCAUCCUGAUGACUAUGACUCACUCCCCUCGCUCUGAGUCUGCAUGAAAGAACAACGGCGCCAAUUAACUGCCUAAGCUCCUCACAUGCAACAGUAGAAAACAGCCUCUGUAUCAAAUAAUAUACCAGGACACACACACACAGUGACAUAUUUUACACAUAUGUAUGUUUAAACAUAGUAAAUAUCUACAUUCUUCUUCACCCGGUGAGAAUCUCCCACUACCUCAGCCACACUGACAAGUGGCUGCAUGUGAAAACAGAGCAAGACUCAGCACUCAUCAACAUGCUCUACUAGAGGCCUAAUGGCCCCUGGGUAAUGGCCUCUUUGGUCUUCAGGAAAUCCUCCCUCAUGCAUACAUCAAAGCUGGGAUUGAGAAGGAUCGAGAGUAGAAAGCAGGGGAGAGAAAUGAGACACCAGCGCCUCACGCAGAGGGAAACUGUGCUGUUCGGUCAAUCCAACACAUGUGAAAUAAACACUACAGCUGUAUUAGCUUCA